rnacentral:rRNA from 1 species
UACGUAGGGACCAAGCGUUGUUCGGAUUUACUGGGCGUAAAGGGCGCGUAGGCGGCGUGACAAGUCACUUGUGAAAUCUCCGGGCUUAACUCGGAACGGUCAAGUGAUACUGUUGUGCUAGAGUACAGAAGGGGCGAUCGGAAUUCUUGGUGUAGCGGUGAAAUGCGUAGAUAUCAAGAGGAACACCAGAGGCGAAGGCGGAUUGCUGGGCUGAUACUGACGCUGAGGCGCGAAAGCUAGGGUAGCAAACGGG